GACCUCAGGUAUAUAAAACGUUGAGCUCAGGUGAGCUGUGGUGUAUGCUCACCUUUUGCGGCCCUGGUCUGGCCCUUGAAAGAAGCCAGAGGGACCUGGUGGACCUUGGUCAAUUCAGACGCACCUGGAUUGAGCCUGUGACCUUCCCACAUUCACCCUUCUCCCCACCCACAAAGGGGUAAUCCUCACGGGGGCUUCCGAGGUUGGCCUUGAGCCCCCUAAGGCUAGGAAGCUUACAUUCUCUUAAGGUGACUCACUUCCUGUUUGGGCUGAGGAAUGUGGCGCCUGGGUACUCCGAGCCGGCUCCUUGGAAACGGCUGGACCCGCCCACCAGAGCCUUAAAGCAACAGUGCUCCCACGACGGGCUUGUCCUAGUGGUCCUGAGGAACGGUCCCAGAAUUCCUGAAGGCAGAGGUCGGCUGCCAAGUCCCACAGUCCACAUGCUCCCUCUUCCUCACUCGACUUUAAGUUCCCUGGAGGAACGACAACUCCACUGCUUUUAGCCAGCGUGCAAGUGGUUCCCAGGACCAUUUCAGAGAAAGGGAUUGUGUGGUGAGACCUUACUAACCUGGCCUAAUCCUCCCUGGGCCUGUCAUGUUUUUGUCGAAAACUGGGAACAGUACUCUGGGCUUCUAAAGAAUCCAUGAGACCAUCUAUCAGUGUCCGAGGCAGGGCCCGGACUCUCUGCAAGGGAACAGCGGGCCGAACCUGCAGAUCCACAAUGACUGCUGAUGACCCUAGAGGCCUCCACAGAAAAACCCACCAGUGGAACAGAGCAGCGGACACAGGACUGCAGCAGCUGUGUCAUUCCUUGUGCCUCCUUUUCUUCAUGGCAAAGCGAUCCUCUCAGAAGAGAAACCAGACCUCCAAGGACACGUUGAAGAGGCAUGAAGAGAACACAGAAGGCCCAGCUGUAUCAUGGAUUUUGUUCUCUGCUGGAUCCAGGGAAGCUUCUCCUGCUCUCCCUGCCUCCUAUGUGCUCCAGGCUUAUGCCACCUCCAUCUUGUACCUGGGCAAUGAUUUUGAGUAUCUAAACAGGGUUAGUGAAUAAAUAGCAGAUAUGCUGAUGCUCCCACUCCUCUACCCAUGGAAGACAUCACUAAUUGAUUUCAACUUAAUGCUCCAAGUACUCACCAAUAAAUAAUUGGAGACAGUCUGUUGACAUCCUAGUCAGUACUUUUCUUUUCUUCCCCCUAACUUCCUCCUAGAGUUUUCAAGCAAAGCAAGUGUGAAUCUGAGUGGCUAUAAGUCUUAAUACAAAUUCUGUCCUUGUCCUCAUGGUAACUUAUCCGGACCAUUGCCAGCUUCCACCAGCAUAAGGAAAUACGAUCUCAUCUUGCCUAAAGUCCCUUUGAAGCAUUGAGUGGGACUCCAGGACUCCACAGGGACUCCUGUGUGCUCAGCAGGAAGCUGGCUCCUGCUCCUGG
rnacentral:lncRNA from 1 species